AUUGAACGCUGGCGGCAGGCCUAACACAUGCAAGUCGAGCGAGCGGCGGACGGGUGAGUAAUGUAUGGGAACUGCCUGAUAGAGGGGGAUAACUACUGGAAACGGUAGCUAAUACCGCAUACUAUCGGAUAACCCAUAUGGGAUUAGCUAGUAGGUGGGGUAAUGGCUCACCUAGGCGACGGUCCCUAGCUGGUCUGAGAGGAUGAACAGCCACACUGGAACUGAGACACGGCCCAGACUCCUACGGAGGCAGCAGUGGGGAAUAUUGCACAAUGGGCGCAAGCCUGAUGCAGCCAUGCCGCGUGUAUGAAGAAGGCCCUAGGGUUGUAAAGCACUUUCAGUGGGGAGGCGUUACCCGCAGAAGAAGCACCGGCUAACUCCGUGCCAGCAGCCGCGGUAAUUC
rnacentral:rRNA from 1 species